UGAUAAGCAUUCUUUUGUUCUCAUUUGGACACUCUAACUGCCGUUUUUAUGUGGGCAUGGCCUUGGCCGAUAGUGAUUUGAUUUCAGAUGAAGUCCGACAAAAAGCAGUGUGGAGAUGGUGAAAUGUGGGAAGACUCGCAGUAACUUAGAGGCAGCACAUUUCUUUAUCUGUCAGCCUUGUAGUUGUGACCUGCUUGAAAAGUCAGAAAACUAAAGUGGAAGAAAGGUCUGCGAACGCGGAAGUCUCGGUGAGAAAAUACCUCCGCUGAAAGAUAAAUGACCUUUACGGAUUUGGCUCCUCGCGUUUCUGUGAACAUUUUAGAAGCUAACUUUUUCCUUCUUUAAAGACUAGCAAGACUGUACUCAUCUCCAGCUCUACAAAAAGGGGGCAGCCAGAUGGUUCAACCAAAUUAAGACACUUGAUACCAAACCAGAGUACCUGAGCUACAUUCCCAGGACCUGAAGGAUAGAAGAAAAGAAAGAGUUCCUAAAACCUUCACUACAUGGCCUCUUUGGCAUAUGGAGGAUUCAUCAAAUAUGAAACAUGAUUGGGGCAGAUAUUGGACCAAAAGCCAAGGUAAAAACAAGAAGAAGAUGAAACUUCACACUAGUAAGAAAAGGCUACAUCAGCACAGGAUUCUACAGCAUUCCACACUUGGUAAGACAAGUAUGCUUACAUGGAAAAUGAAUCAAGAGGCCUCAUUAGAAGCAUGCUUCAAAAAGAAAAUUGAAGAUUUGGUUGGAAACGACUCCCCUUUUGUUUAUGUGUCAACUACACAAGCUGAGCACAGAAAAUGAAUUAUUCAGUCUAAUGGGGAAUAUUUUUAAAUAUUGUAUACAGGAAGAGAAGCUUGUGAAAGAAGAGUAAUA